AAAUUGAAGAGUUUGAUCAUGGCUCAGAUUGAACGCUGGCGGCAGGCCUAACACAUGCAAGUCGAGCGGAAACGAGUUAUCUGAACCUUCGGGGAACGAUAGCGGCGUCGAGCGGCGGACGGGUGAGUAAUGCCUAGGAAAUUGCCCUGAUGUGGGGGAUAACCAUUGGAAACGAUGGCUAAUACCGCAUGAUGCCUACGGGCCAAAGAGGGGGACCUUCGGGCCUCUCGCGUCAGGAUAUGCCUAGGUGGGAUUAGCUAGUUGGUGAGGUAAGGGCUCACCAAGGCGACGAUCCCUAGCUGGUCUGAGAGGAUGAUCAGCCACACUGGAACUGAGACACGGUCCAGACUCCUACGGGAGGCAGCAGUGGGGAAUAUUGCACAAUGGGCGCAAGCCUGAUGCAGCCAUGCCGCGUGUGUGAAGAAGGCCUUCGGGUUGUAAAGCACUUUCAGUCGUGAGGAAGGUAGUGUAGU
rnacentral:rRNA from 1 species